GCAAGUCGAACGAGAAAGUUCCUUCGGGAAUGAGUAAAGUGGCGGACGGGUGAGGAACGCGUGGAUAACCUGCCCUUCAGCGGGGGAUAACUAUUGGAAACGAUAGCUAAUACCGCAUAAGACUACGAAUCCUGCGGGUAACGUAGUAAAAGGCUUCGGCCACUGAUGGAUGGGUCCGCGUCCGAUUAGCUUGUUGGUGGGGUAAAAGCCUACCAAGGCUCCGAUCGGUAGCUGGUCUCAGAGGAUGAUC
rnacentral:rRNA from 1 species